CCUACGGGUGGCUGCAGUGGGGAAUAUUUGGCAAUGGGCGCAAGCCUGACCCAGCAACGCCGCGUGAAGGAAGAAGGCUUUCGGGUUGUAAACUUCUUUUCUGAGGGACGAAGAAAGUGACGGUACCUCAGGAAUAAGCCACGGCUAACUACGUGCCAGCAGCCGCUGUAAUACGUAGGUGGCAAGCGUUAUCCGGAUGUAUUGGGUGUAAAGGGCGUGUAGGCGGGAAAGCAAGUCAGAUGUGAAAACUCAGGGCUCAACCCUGAGCCCGCAUUUGAAACUGUUUUUCUUGAGUGGUGGAGAGGCAAUCGGAAUUCCGUGUGUAGCGGUGAAAGGCGUAGAUAUAAGGAGGAACACCAGUGGCGAAGGCGGAUUGCUGGACAGUAACUGACGCUGAGGCGCGAAAGCGUGGGGAGCAAACAGGAUUAGAUACCCCUGUAGUC
rnacentral:rRNA from 1 species